AGAGUUUGAUCCUGGCUCAGGAUGAACGCUGGCGGCGUGCCUAAUACAUGCAAGUCGAGCGAACGGACGAGAAGCUUGCUUCUCUGAUGUUAGCGGCGGACGGGUGAGUAACACGUGGAUAACCUACCUAUAAGACUGGGAUAACUUCGGGAAACCGGAGCUAAUACCGGAUAAUAUUUUGAACCGCAUGGUUCAAAAGUGAAAGACGGUCUUGCUGUCACUUAUAGAUGGAUCCGCGCUGCAUUAGCUAGUUGGUAAGGUAACGGCUUACCAAGGCAACGAUGCAUAGCCGACCUGAGAGGGUGAUCGGCCACACUGGAACUGAGACACGGUCCAGACUCCUACGGGAGGCAGCAGUAGGGAAUCUUCCGCAAUGGGCGAAAGCCUGACGGAGCAACGCCGCGUGAGUGAUGAAGGUCUUCGGAUCGUAAAACUCUGUUAUUAGGGAAGAACAUAUGUGUAAGUAACUGUGCACAUCUUGACGGUACCUAAUCAGAAAGCCACGGCUAACUACGUGCCAGCAGCCGCGGUAAUACGUAGGUGGCAAGCGUUAUCCGGAAUUAUUGGGCGUAAAGCGCGCGUAGGCGGUUUUUUAAGUCUGAUGUGAAAGCCCACGGCUCAACCGUGGAGGGUCAUUGGAAACUGGAAAACUUGAGUGCAGAAGAGGAAAGUGGAAUUCCAUGUGUAGCGGUGAAAUGCGCAGAGAUAUGGAGGAACACCAGUGGCGAAGGCGACUUUCUGGUCUGUAACUGACGCUGAUGUGCGAAAGCGUGGGGAUCAAACAGGAUUAGAUACCCUGGUAGUCCACGCCGUAAACGAUGAGUGCUAAGUGUUAGGGGGUUUCCGCCCCUUAGUGCUGCAGCUAACGCAUUAAGCACUCCGCCUGGGGAGUACGACCGCAAGGUUGAAACUCAAAGGAAUUGACGGGGACCCGCACAAGCGGUGGAGCAUGUGGUUUAAUUCGAAGCAACGCGAAGAACCUUACCAAAUCUU
rnacentral:rRNA from 2 species